CCCGCCCCCAGCCCACCUCCAACUGACAGAGCAGCAGUUGCAGUUUAGAAUUUUCAGUUGUCAGUGCCCAAAAUCUUUCUCAUUGAUAAUAGCAUUUUAUUUUAUUAUUUAAUCAUAACAUCGAUUUAAAAUAUGUUUUUAAACUAGCGGGUCUAACUGCCUAAAAGAAAGAGUUUUCACCGAGCUAGCUAACACAGCUAGUUAGCUAGCUAGCUCCUUUAGCUUGUCCACACAACAUGCAGUGUGACUGACCAAGGCAAGAAAUUCUUUGGUUAGUUAAUAUGUCAUGUAGCUACAGUACAGCUUAAGGAAUCUACAUGGGCAGUUGUCAACUUGUGAGCCUGUAAAUGGACACUGGAGGUUAAGGAAUCUGCAUUGUGGACUCGAAUCAUUGCAAGGAUGAUCAAUGGAAACAGGAUGCACCUGAGCUCAAUUUCCAGUCUCAUAGCAAAGGGUCUGAAAACUUCUGUAGAUAAGGAGCCUAAGAAGCAUGAAAAACACCCGUCCGACGCACAAACAGACACAACAACACUCUACCUAUGCCUUUACAUAGCUGGCACCAUCAAACACACACAGCGCACCACAGAAUGCCACAGCAGAAUGAACAGGGACAUCAUAGAA
rnacentral:lncRNA from 1 species